UUGUAAUGUAGUUUAUUUAAAAUAUUUGUUUUACACACAUAGGAACUCAAGUUUGAGCUUUACUAA
rnacentral:tRNA from 1 species